rnacentral:rRNA from 1 species
UACGUAGGGUGCAAGCGUUGUCCGGAAUUAUUGGGCGUAAAGAGCUCGUAGGCGGUUUGUCGCGUCUGCUGUGAAAACGCGAGGCUCAACCUCGCGCCUGCAGUGGGUACGGGCAGACUAGAGUGCGGUAGGGGAGAUUGGAAUUCCUGGUGUAGCGGUGGAAUGCGCAGAUAUCAGGAGGAACACCGAUGGCGAAGGCGGUGGUCUGGGCCAGUACUGACGCUGAGGAGCGAAAGCGUGGGGAGCGAACAGG